rnacentral:lncRNA from 1 species
UAGCAAUCAUACCAUACCAAUAAGACAAGAAGACAUGGUAGCAUUAGAAUUUGACAAAAUGGAUAUAGGAUAAAAGAAAUAGCUAUCUCUUAAAUAAUUAAAAAUUACUGGUUCAAACAGGAAAAAAAAUCCUGAUGUCCCUGUGCUGACAGGUGAUAGAGGGGGUGAUCUAAAUCCUAACAACUUGAGGGGUGAAAGAAAUACACACAUGAGAGGCAAUGAGUUAGGCUACUCACUACUCAUACACGUAUCUUAUAAUGAAGAGAACAUUUACAUGUCUCUGCCACAAAAUACUGCAAAUAUGUACAUAAUUAGCAGAAAAAUGGUCACUCUUCAACAGAGUAUACACUUGUAGAGCAGAAAUGCAUAAGGCCUCCAGUCUGUUUGCUUGUGCAAGCUAAUUACAUGCAAGUAUCCAAAGUGUAUUUCACAAUUAAGCAAAUGAGCCUCUACACAUAUUGCAUUGCCUAGAAACAUGGGGACACCAAAAUAUCACAGGUUACCAACGACAUAUAAAAACAUGGGGAAUAUUUUUUUGCAGGAGCACCAAUAUUAGAACAGGACAUUAAUAAACGUACGAAUCAGAAAUUAGAAGGGAGCACGCACCGAUCUCCUGCGCGAGCAAGGUUCGCUCGCCUGCUUGCGUGCUCGCACAGGCCGCCUGAGACACAUAUUGCAUUGCCUAGAAACAUGGGGACACCAAAAUAUCACAGGUUACCAACGACAUAUAAAAACAUGGGGAAUAUUUUUUUGCAGGAGCACCAAUAUUAGAACAGGACAUUAAUAAACGUACGAAUCAGAAAUUAGAAGGGAGCACGCACCGAUCUCCUGCGCGAGCAAG